rnacentral:rRNA from 1 species
AACGUAGGACACAAGCGUUAUCCGGAGUUACUGGGCGUAAAGGGCGUGUAGGCGGACGUGUAAGUCUAUUCUGAAAACUCCUGGCUUAACCGGGAGAGGUCGGUGGAAACUGCGAACCUGGAGGACGGUAGAGGCUGGUGGAAUUCCCGGUGUAGUGGUGAAAUGCGUAGAGAUCGGGAGGAACACCUGUGGCGAAGGCGGCCAGCUGGGCCGGACCUGACGCUGAGACGCGAAGGCGUGGGGAGCGAACGGG